rnacentral:lncRNA from 1 species
AUUUCCGAUUGGCGAAUCUAGCGGGAGCAAUGCGCUGUCUGUCAGGCGUGUGUUGGGUACAGAGUUUACUGCACCGGACCACCUGAAUUCCCUGGGCUGAGGCUCCAUAGCACGCGAACUACCUUGCGUGAGCACUAUGUAGAUUCGACUUCGUGUUGCCUGUGACACACAGGCAGGGCAAAGCCGCCUCCCAGCGUCUCAGUUGAACCCUUACCCUCAACACCAGUGCACUCCUGUGGGUGGCCUGUAGUCACCUUUCUUGUCGAAGUCCUCAAAGUUAGGGACAGACUCUCAUCCAGUUUCUGGAGGGUGGAAGCUUCACUCAGGCUGGAGUCUGGCUCUCUGGCCUCUUAUCUAAGAUCCCGGUUCAGAUCUGGGCUACUAGAGCCGGGCGUGGUGGCGCGCGCCUGGGAUUCCUGUAACCCCGAGGGAGGCUGAGGCUGAGGCUGGAGGAUGGCUUGAGCCCAGGAGUUAAAUGUAUAUAUUUUAAAACUAAUAAUAUUUUUAAAACUGGGCUACGCUGGUACCUUCUGCAACACGGCAAUUAGGGGUUUGCAGAUCAGACCUUCAGCUCAUAGGAGGCGCGUUUAAAUCUUAAUGGCAAAUACAAAUUGAAUUAAAUUUUACUUGUUACUGAAGGGGAAAUAAACCUGACCUCACGCCCUUGGAGUAUUUCCAUGAGAAAUCUAUGUAUAAGUGCUCCUUUGAUAUGUACCUGAUACUUUUGAAAGGCUGAAUAAGCACCUGCCAACUUUACAAAAGAGGAAUGUUUCCCCCAAAGGCCUGAUGAGCCAUCUCUUUGAAAUGUAAACAGUGAAGAAGAUAGUGCCCUUAUCUCCCUGUCACCUUGGGAGUUUAGCUUAGGUGCCUAGCUCCAAACUCGUAACUGCCCGCUUGUCACAGAUAAAAGUUUUAUUUUUUCUUUUUGAUAAAGGCAAUUAACUAGUGUAGAUGGCUACUCCAAUUACCAGGUGAAUUUAGAAUGAAUUAUGAAAAAUUGUAUAGCAAACAAUGUCAAAUCCUCUUACAAGGGGGCAAAUUACCAUUAAUUUUGAGGACAUGUUUGUAAUAGAUUGUAUCUGCCCAACUAGAUAAAAAGUAAGAUCUCUUUCUGUCUGGCAUCUGAUUAGCAGAUUGUCUACAAUGUGCUUCCCAGUCCAGUUCAAUAUUAUUUGGUAAUAAAACUGUUCUCCUUCUUUUCUACGUUUGUGAAGGGGAUUUUCUGGGUUAGCAGGAGAUUUUGUUUUUAUUUUCUCCAACACCUCCUUCCAUCUUCUUAUUUCUUUUCACCUUCCCAAUAUCAGCCUUCUGAGGCUUCUCUGUUCUCCAGUACUCAGGAGAUAGAGAACAUGGCCCCAAGGCCGUUGUGAGCCAGGAGACAGACAAACAUUUCUUGAUAUUCUGUCCUGCCUUUCACAGAAAGGACCAAUUCCCUUCUCUUGUCUUGGAGGCUGCCGUGUUAGUACUGGGCAGAAUCUGUUACUGAAACACCAGGGGUUGGGUCUAGGUCCUGCUGGUUGCCAGUCAGAAAACCAAUCACUGAGACGAGUAUUGCAAGGGAAGAAGGCCUUAAUUGAGUGCUGCAGCCAAGAAGAUGGGAGAUCAGUCUCACAUCCAUCUCCCUGACUGACCAAAAUCAGGGGUUUGUAUAGCAGGGAAGAAAUGUAACUAUGUGUGGGAAAACAGAAAUUAGGGAGAGGUAAGUUGGAACAGGAAGGAGGUGAUUGGUUAGGCAAUAUGACUGAUGAGGAGUGUGGGUUCUCAUUGUCCACAUGCAAUGAUUUGGUAAGUUGCAGCUCCUUGAUACUAUCUGGGAGGCCUGAUGUUUGGUUUUCCUGAGAAAGGAACUCAGGACAAAUGUGACCUUCUCAAGUUUUAAGACUGGGGGAAUCCAUUUCUUUUCUUUCCUUUUCCUUUCUUUUUUUUUUUUUGGACAGGGACUUGCUCUGUCAUUCAGGCUAGAGUGCGGUGGCAUGAUCACCGCUCAUGUAGCCUCAACCUCCUGGGCUCAAGUGAGUCUUCCACCUCAGCCCCGAGUAGUUGGGACUACAGGCACAUGCCACCACACCUGGCAAUAUUUUUUAAUUUUUUGUAGAGAUGGGGUUUCACCAUGUUGCCCAGGCUGAUCUUAAACUCCUAGGCUCAGGUGAUUCUCCCACCUCAGCUUCCCAAAGUGCUGGAAUUACAGGCAUGAGCCACCGCACCUGGCCUGGAAGGACCAAUUUCUGUUUAUUCAAAGAAACCAUAAACAUCAAUUCUGUGGGACAAUUGGGACAGUUUCAAAUCCAGCCCUUGAUCUGGAGCCCUCCCUCAGCAUCCCUCUGUGCUCCAUGUGACUGUUAUUCAUCACGUGAAUAAAAUCUAUGGAACAGUUGAAUUAAAAAUACAAGGACAGAGGUGACAUCAAUGGGAAAUCUCUGUCCCUUCUGUUUAAUUUUGCUAUGGACAUAAAAUUCAUCUA